UAUGAAUUAUGAUUCUAUCUAUCUGGAUAUAAGGAAUGCACUGUUUAAUUAAAAUUGAUUUGAUAAGAAUAAUGCAUAAUAAUCAGACGAAUAAGAAUUGAUUUGGACUAAUCUUCGUUAGCCUCUACGGGCUUAUACAUGGGACAGCCUCCACGAACUUAUAUGUGGGAUAGCCUCAUCGGGCUUAUGCACGGGACAGCCUCCAUAUGCUUAUACGUAUGAUAGUCUCCACAGGCUUACGCGUGGAAACUUUGUUUAUCAAUCAUGGACCAGGAUAUGAUCAUGGUUAGUCCAAAGCCGAAAAGUAAUUAUUUUCGAAACUGAAAUUAAAAUAAUAAGAAACGGAUGAUAAGAAACAUGAAACCAAUGUUGAAUAAAAGAUUUUUAUUUGUUGAUAUAUUGUGAUAUAUCUAUUUUGAUAGGCUGGAUAUUUGAUGUAUAUUUAUUUGGAUAUUUGUCGGUUUAAUUUAGUUAUACUUGAUGUUUGAAAAAUGAUUUCAUAAUUUAUGUUUUUAUUUUGUUAUCGCUUAUUGUUAUUUUCAAAUUAUAUUAUUAUAAUGAUGUAAACAUGUGGAGAUUCUUACUGGGCUAUAAAGCUCACACUAUCUUUCCUCUUUUUCUUUCAAAGUUGCAAGAUGCCUACUCAUGGAUAGGUCGGGCAUGGAGCUUGAGCGAUGGAGUCUUUAGUUAGUUAGUUUAUUCUCUGAUGCCAAACGAAUAGUUGAUUAUCUUAUAAAUGAAUCAGUUUGAUUAUUCGAAUAUGGUGGAUUUAUUAGUUGGAUUUUGUGGCUAUUAAUUGUUGAGUUAUUAGAUAUUUAUUUGGCCUAGGCUUUUCAUGAUCUCUAGGGCAUUACUCUAGGGUUCAUGCAGCAAUAUCACGUGGUCGACCCAGGUAACGGGUUUGGGGCGUGACACCUAGUAAGCUAAAUAACCGUAACAUUGUCCCACUAUGUCCUUAAAAAGGCCAUGUUAAGCUAGAAAUUAAUGGAGGUAUUAGCUUGUAGCAGCAACUAGUUGCCUGAGAAGUAUAUCAGCGCCAAGUAACAAUCUUCAUUCAUGCCUCACAAUUUGAUGCAAUUGUCUACCAUGAGGUCUCUGAUAUACCUCUUGGUUCUAAUUUUCUUUGUCUUUUCCUACAGUGAAGGCCUAUUAAGCUACAUGAAGAGAACAUUCACAAGGCAUACUCAGCUUGAGUUGAAAAGUAUUAGCCUGUGCCUGCAACUGGGUUUGGCUGAAAAGAUACUAGGGACAAUGUAUAGUUAGUUAUUCCUUGCAAUUUGUUAUAAAGUUUAUUGUGCAUCCGGGCCUCGUUCCUCUUCUAGACUUCUAUCUAGUCCUGCAAUGGAGGUUUCCUAAAUUAAAUAGCUGGAACAUUUCAGGCCUGUUUGGGUAUCAGAAUCUCAUAAUCCGAGAAUGCUAUCUUUCCCCAGGCAAAACAGAAAAAAAGGUUAUCCGCUAGGUAGGAAAGGCUCCAAGAGAAAUAAAAAAUUACUAUAGUUUAAGAAGGUUAUCAGCAGGAUCAAAGGCGAUGAGAUUUCAGCCAAUAUUUCUCCAUCCUAUUUCUCAAGAAGGUUUAUGUUCAAUGCUGAUCGAAGGCUUGAACAAUCUCCAUCAAUUUGAAUCAAACUCAGUUUCUAGAUGAAACCUUCUAACAAUUUCAAAUCCCAAAGUAAUCCAUAUUAACCAGUCCCUGUCUAAACUUUACAAAUAUUUCUUAUACAUCCAUCAUAUGGUUUGAUCUUUGCCCACACAUCCUUACCUGACCCAACAUAACGUGGUCUAGCCAGAUGGUGUUUGGUUGAAAAGGUAGCAUUUGGAUUAGUUUUGAGUUCCUCUUGAGCUUUAUGGUUGGAAAGAUUACUAAAGAUUUGUUUAGAUAUUCCUACAGGAUCGGACCGUAAAUGCUAUACAAAUCGAGCUUAUUGGCCCAUCCGUUUUGUAUUUUCCAACAGCAUGUCCAAAUCCAACCUAGAUCCUAGCCUUUG
rnacentral:lncRNA from 1 species